rnacentral:lncRNA from 1 species
UACUAGUGAUAACUUACAUAGAUACAUGGGAUCACAUACUAGUGAUAACUUACAUAGACACAAGGGAUCACAUACUAGUGAUGACUGACAUAGACACAUCGGAUCACAUACAAGUGAUCACUUAUAACAUAAACAAAUGGGAUCACAUACUAGUGAUAACUUACAUAGACACAUGAGAAUACAUUCUAAUGAUAAUUUACAUAGACACAUGAGAAUACAUUCUAAUGAUAACUUACAUAGACACAUGAGAAUACAUGCUAGUGAUAACUUACAUAGACACAUGGGAUCACAUACAAGUGAUCACUUAUAACAUAGACACAUGGGAUCACAUACUAGUGAUAACUUACAUAGACACAUGGGAUCACAUACUGUGAUAACUUACAUAGACACAUGGGAACACAUACUCGUGAUAACUUACAUAGACUCAUGGGAACACAUACUUGUGAUAACUUACAUAGACACAUGGAAUCACAUACUCGUGAUAACUUACAUAGACACAUGGGAACACAUACUCGUGAUAACUUACAUAGACACAUGGGAACACAUACUCGUGAUAACUUACAUAGACACAUGGGAACACAUACUUGUGAUAACUUAAAUAGACACAUGGGAUCACAUACUGUGAUAACUUACAUAGACACAUGGGAACACAUACUCGUGAUAACUUACAAAGACACAUGGGAACACAUACUUGUGAUAACUUACAUAGACACAUGGGAACACAUACUCGUGAUAACUUACAAAGACACAUGGGAACACAUACUCGUGAUAACUUACAUAGACACAUGGGAACACAUACUUGUGAUAACUUACAUAGACACAUGGGAACACAUACUCGUGAUAACUUACAUAGACACGUGGGAACACAUACUAGUGAUAACUUACAUAGACACAUGGGAUCACAUACUAGUGAUAACUUACAUAGACACAUGGGAUCACAUACUAGUAAUAACUUACAUAGACACAUGGGAACACAUACUUGUGAUAACUUACAUAGACACAUGGGAACACAUACUCGUGAUAACUUACAUAGACACAUGAAAAUACAUGCUAGUGAUAACUUACAUAGACACAUGAGAAUACACGUACAUGGUUGGGAUAAUUAACAUAGACAAAUGUGAACAUAUACUAGUAAAAACGUGAUAAUUUACGUAGAUACAUGAGAACACAUACUCGGUGUGAUAACUUAAGUUGACACAUGAUAACCCAUAUUAGUGAUAAUUUACAAAGACACAUGAGAACAAAUACUAGUGAUGAUUUAAAUAGACACACGAAAACACAUACUAGUGAUAAAUCACGUAGACACAUGAAAACACUUGUGGUAAGUUACAUAGACACAUGAGAAUACAUUCUAGUAAAUAAGGAUUAACAAUGAUUAAGUUAACGUUAUGUAGACACAAUGACAUGAUAACAAAUUCUAGUGACGAUUUACAGACACAUACAGUGAUCACUCUUAGACACAAGAGAACACAUAAUAGUAAAUAAUUGAUAAUUUACGUAAAAACACACAUGAGAACCCAUACUAGUGAUAACUUUACAAAGACACAUGGGAACACAUACUAAACGUGAUAAUUUACAGACACUUGAGAACACAUACUAGUGAUAAUUUACACAUGAGAACACAUACUAGUGAUAAUUUACAUAGACAUAUGAGAACAUAUAAUUACUAAUAAUUUACAUACACAUGAGAACACAUACUAGCAUGAUUAGUAAUUAAAUAAUUGAUAAAUGUCAUUCAUCAAGAUUAUAAUUACUUGACUGUAAAUUAACUGUGUAUAUAUCUGUCUUGUUUGUACAUGUUGUAUUGUGAUGUGUGUGCGGUCGCGGGGAAG